CCUGUGGAUCAACAUUUCCUGACCUGUGUCAAAAUAAAAUGCUAGGGAAUCACACAUUCUACAAAAUGAAACAAAAGUAUCAUUAAGGUGAGAAAGGAAGGAAAGACAAGUCCUGUCAAAAAUCCAAAGCCACCAGAAACUAAUAAAUAUCCACACAGUUAAUAAACAAAGAAGAAGAACUGCAUCAUAAAUAUUAAAUGGACCCACUACAUCAUGGCCAGACAUGCCAUUGGUCUUCAAGACAAGAACUUCUUAGAUGAAAAUUUGCUUCAAAAUUAGAAUAGCACAUAACUAAGAUUCAAGAGGAAGCGAUAGAGAGGAAACAAGAGAUUAGCAACCUCCCAUGAGGAAAUAAUAGUCUGCCCAUAAAAUACAGAUCCUUUUAGACCAGUUUCUCAACAUUUAAGUUUCACCAUCAACAAUGAUUUUCUCCUGCAUUUUCUGUUGCUUGUAACGUACGACAGUAACAUCAACUUACAACUGCCUUUUUGCUAGAUGAAACCCAAAAAUUCUAAAGCCUGCCAGGGUGUUGCCAAAACAACAAACUUAAAUGUGCAAGAGUCUCAGUUCUAUCAGCCAGAAGCUAAUCAGAUAAACCAACAAAUUUAAUUUAAGAAAACAAUAGUAAGAUUAUCAUAAUACCAUAACUGGCAGUCUUAAGAAGUGUAAAAAAACAUAAAUUCUACGCCUUCUCCAAGAAUUAACACAGCAUAGGCACCAUAAAAAACCUCGAUAUACAAAAAUUGCUUGAUUUUUGUUUGAAGAAAUAUCUGAAAACAAUCCCUGAAGAAAUAACUGCAUAAAUGCUCAAUAACAAAUGGAGGCCAAAUCCAAAUCCAAAAACACCCCCUUAUUCAUUUUUUAUCAAUAUCCUUCCUUUUAGCAUACCCUAUGCUCUAGGUUCCUCCCUACUGGAGCCAUGAUUCUUACUGCAUACAUCAUCCCCAACCUUUGCAAAUGAUAUACACUAACAUCCAUUGGCCUCAUAAAGCACUAGCAAAAGCCACUUUGUAUCAACCAAGGUUUUUAAAUCUAACCCGAUCAUCGAACCAAUGAAAGUAGAGUGUUAAAAGUUUAAAAUUCAAUUGGAGUCAAACUGGGGUUUAACCUGUAUCAUAUUUAAUCAAUAUUAAUUAUAUAACAAUUAACAAUCUCUUAAAAAAUAAUCAUGUAUUAUUACAAUUAGUAGUUUGAUAUAUUUUAUAAAUAAUAAUUAAAUUAAAUCGAGUUAAAUUUCAAAAUGUAAAUUUUUUUCCUAAUAAGUAAUUUAAAAUUUUUAAUUGGAUUUUUAGAUUUUAAAUAGUA
rnacentral:misc_RNA from 1 species